rnacentral:rRNA from 1 species
AGGACGAACGCUGGCGGCGUGCUUAACACAUGCAAGUCGAGCGGUAAGGCCUUUCGGGGUACACGAGCGGCGAACGGGUGAGUAACACGUGGGUGAUCUGCCCUGCACUUCGGGAUAAGCCUGGGAAACUGGGUCUAAUACCGGAUAUGACCUCAGGUUGCAUGACUUGGGGUGGAAAGAUUUAUCGGUGCAGGAUGGGCCCGCGGCCUAUCAGCUUGUUGGUGGGGUAAUGGCCUACCAAGGCGACGACGGGUAGCCGACCUGAGAGGGUGACCGGCCACGACGUGGGACUGAGACACGGCCCAGACUCCUACGGGAGGCAGCAGUGGGAAUAUUGCACAAUGGGCGAAAGCCUGAUGCAGCGACGCCGCGUGAGGAUGACGGCCGUUCGGGUUGUAACCUCGUUUACAGCGAGGACCGAAGCGACGAAGUCGACGGUUACC